rnacentral:rRNA from 1 species
CCUACGGGUGGCUGCAGUGGGGAAUAUUGCACAAUGGGCGCAAGCCUGAUGCAGCCAUGCCGCGUGUGUGAAGAAGGCCUUCGGGUUGUAAAGCACUUUCAGCGGGGAGGAAGGCGUUAAGGUUAAUAACCUUGUCGAUUGACGUUACCCGCAGAAGAAGCACCGGCUAACUCCGUGCCAGCAGCCGCGGUAAUACGGAGGGUGCAAGCGUUAAUCGGAGUUACUGGGCGUAAAGCGCACGCAGGCGGUCUGUCAAGUCGGAUGUGAAAUCCCCGGGCUCAACCUGGGAACUGCAUUCGAAACUGGCAGGCUAGAGGCUUGUAGAGGGGGGUAGAAUUCCAGGUGUAGCGGUGAAAUGCGUAGAGAUCUGGAGGAAUACCGGUGGCGAAGGCGGCCCCCUGGACAAAGACUGACGCUCAGGUGCGAAAGCGUGGGGAGCAAACAGGAUUAGAUACCCCGGUAGUC